GGGAGUGUAGUUGUCCUGUGCUUGGAGAUGAUGCUUGGCUCCUGUUGAUCAGGUUUUUUGAAAUCAGCUGCUGGACAUCAGCAAAAAGGCUGAAGUCUACUAUGAACACUGGCCUGUGCAUGUGGGAGAAGCAAGUUCACUUUUGUCAGCUCUCCCUGCCUACAGGAAUAGCCUAAUGCCAGGAUGAAUUUGAACAGGAAUGAUGAUCACUUUUCCUGAAGAGCUGUCACAUACAUUUUUCCCUUGUUGCAAGAAGCUCGUUCCCAACUAAGUUAAGGAGUGCUUGGUUGGAUGUGAAGCCUCU